GACGAACGCUGGCGGCGUGCUUAACACAUGCAAGUCGAACGGAAAGGCCUGCUUUCCCUUGUGGAUUGCGGGUGCUCGAGUGGCGAACGGGUGAGUAACACGUGAGUGAUCUGCCCCCAACUUGGGUAUAAGCCUGGGAAACUGGGUCUAAUUCCCGAUAGGACUGCAGGGUGGUGCCUGUGGUGGAAAACGAUUUUCUAGUGGUUGGGGAUGAGCUCGCGGCCUAUCAGCUUGUUGGUGGGGUAAUGGCCUACCAAGGCGGCGACGGGUAGCCGGCCUGGGAGGGUGGACGGCCACAUUGGGACUGAGAUGCGGCCCAGACUCCUACGGGAGGCAGCAGUGGGGAAUAUUGCACAAUGGGCGGAAGCCUGAUGCAGCGACGCCGCGUGGGGGAUGACGGCCUUCGGGUUGUAAACUCCUUUCGACCGCGAGGAAGCCACCUGGUUGGAAGGGUGGUGACGGUAGUGGUAGAAGAAGCACCGGCUAACUACGUG
rnacentral:rRNA from 1 species